rnacentral:misc_RNA from 1 species
AACGCACCUUGCGCCCUCUGGUAUUCCGGGGGGCAUAUCUGUUUGAGAAUCAGUUUAACCCUCACAACUAGAUUAGAGCAAUCUAAGCUAGGAGUGGACUUGAGACAUCUCUUGCAAAAGAGUGUCUUUAAACUGAUACCCACCUUUUUAGUAGACUGACAAGUUUAAAGGCAAUAUGACUGGACAGUUUCUGUUCUUUAUUUGCCCGGUUGCUCGUUUAGAAAGCUAAUCUAGGAAGGGAGACAAAACCAAAACACGAAGAGCGUAAAAACUCUUUAAGACUUGGUCUCAAAUCAGAUAAGACUACCCGCUGAACUUAA